UACGUAGGGCGCGAGCGUUGUCCGGAAUUAUUGGGCGUAAAGAGCUCGUAGGCGGCUUGUUGCGUCUGCUGUGAAAUCCCGGGGCUUAACCCCGGGCGUGCAGUGGAUACGGGCAGGCUGGAGGCAGGCAGGGGAGAAUGGAAUUCCCGGUGUAGCGGUGAAAUGCGCAGAUAUCGGGAGGAACACCGGUGGCGAAGGCGGCAUCCUGGACCGACAUUGACGCUGAGGAGCGAAAGCCAGGGGAGCAAACGGG
rnacentral:rRNA from 1 species